rnacentral:rRNA from 1 species
AUUGAACGCUGGCGGCAUGCCUUACACAUGCAAGUCGAACGGCAGCGGACCUUCGGGUGCCGGCGAGUGGCGAACGGGUGAGUAAUAUAUCGGAACGUACCUUUCAGUGGGGGAUAACGUAGCGAAAGUUACGCUAAUACCGCAUAUUCUGUGAGCAGGAAAGCAGGGGAUCGCAAGACCUUGCGCUGAUUGAGCGGCCGAUAUCAGAUUAGCUAGUUGGUGAGGUAAAGGCUCACCAAGGCGACGAUCUGUAGCGGGUCUGAGAGGAUGAUCCGCCACACUGGAACUGAGACACGGUCCAGACUCCUACGGGAGGCAGCAGUGGGGAAUUUUGGACAAUGGGCGCAAGCCUGAUCCAGCCAUGCCGCGUGAGUGAAGAAGGCCUGGUUGUAAG